CUGUCAUCAAAUGCCAUGGAAUCUAUGCCAGUGCCUCAAUAUGCGCCCACUGUCUCUCAACUCAUGUGCAGUCUGUGGAAUUGAUGUAUCUUCUACUCAAUAAAUAAUGCCUGUGAAGUGAUGUAUUUUUGACAGUAGAGUCACAUUAGUGAAUUCACAUUUAUGAUGGAGAAAGCAUAAUUGUAAAGUUGCAUUUCGUGUUUGUAAUUCUUCAUGUCAAAAUUGUUUCAUUCAUAUUCUGAUAGAUAAAAUACACACAAUACAUUUUAUGUACGACUGAAUUCAUUCAAAAGUUUGCAAAUAUUUAUUUUUUG